rnacentral:lncRNA from 1 species
AGGUUGGGGGCUGGGGACGUGCCAGGCCAGGACCUGCAACAGAAACCGCCGCCCCACAGAAAGUUUCCACAGAAAGGAAACUUUCUGUGCCCCACCCCGUCCUGCCUGAAAAGUUCCUUUCCAUGAGGGCUUGGUGCUGAGUGUGGCCCCCACAGGGAUGUCUGUGUGGUCACAGAGCACCCGUGGGAGGGCAAUUCUGACCCCAAGGUAGGAAGCAGUGAUCGGGUAAUUCUAGGCACCAAGGCAGAUGAGAAGACCAAGCCACAGCCUCCUCAUGAAGUUUGAAGUCUGCAUUGAACUCAUUAAUUUCCAGCUUUUGGCCGGGCGUGGUGGCUCAUGACUGUAAUUCCAGCACUUUGGGAGGCCAAGAUGGGGCCCGUGAGUGAGGAGGACAAGAGAGAAAGGAGAAGUUUGGGUGGAAAUCCCAGAGAUUGUUCAUCAUGUGAGAGGAGCCAUGCUGCAUUUCAUGCCAUACUCACACCAUGGAUGGAGAAAAAAAGCCAAGCUUCACUUUCUAAGAAUGGCCCUGGGGCCAC